AGCCACAGCCGUAUGACCUGAAGUGAGUAACCCAAGACCUGUUACUCACUGAAGCUAAGCAGGGCUGAGGCUGGUCAGUGUCAGGAUGGGAGACCACAUGGGAAAACUAGGUUGCUGUUGGAA
rnacentral:rRNA from 1 species